AGAGUUGAUCAUGGCUCAGGACGAACGCUGGCGGCGCGCCUAACACAUGCAAGUCGAACGAGAGAGAAGGAGCUUGCUUCUUCGAUCGAGUGGCGAACGGGUGAGUAACGCGUGAGGAACCUGCCUCAAAGAGGGGGACAACAGUUGGAAACGACUGCUAAUACCGCAUAAGCCCACGGGUCGGCAUCGAUCUGAGGGAAAAGGAGCAAUCCGCUUUGAGAUGGCCUCGCGUCCGAUUAGCUAGUUGGUGAGGUAACGGCCCACCAAGGCGACGAUCGGUAGCCGGACUGAGAGGUUGAACGGCCACAUUGGGACUGAGACACGGCCCAGACUCCUACGGGAGGCAGCA
rnacentral:rRNA from 1 species